CUCAAAACGAAACCAGCAGGGGCCCUGUGGGCCUCGCCCCGCCUACCCUUGGGGCUGCAGCUCCCAGCUGACCAGGUGUGCAGGCCCUGGGGCCUCCCCAGGGCUGGAGGCCACACCUCAGAAUCACAGGUCAGGUGGGUGGAGGACUGGUUUGCAGUCCCCGUGGUAAAGGCAAGGUGGCUCUGGAGGAGGAAGGAGGGCGGAGGCAGAGGCCAGGCCCCAUGGCAGCCUGAACCAAGGCUCAGGUUUCUGCCCAGCCUUCCCUGGGGACUCAGAGAGGCUUGUGGAGAAGUACCUGGAGAAUCAGAGCGAGGCCUCAGCUUUGGAUUUUGCAGUGGGGACCAAUGAGAUUUCAAGGGCAGCCACAUCAGCACCCCUCACCCUGAUGCCUGUGAGGGGACCAGUGUACAGGGCAGCCCAAAGUGCAGACCAUCCAAUGUUCAUCACUGCAUAGUGAAUACACAAAGUGGUCCCUCCACACCUGGAAGCAUCACUCAAUCAUAAAGAGGGGAGAAGCCCUGACACUCGCCACCAUGUGGACCGAUCCUGAGAACACAAUGCUCAGUGAGAGAGGCAGACACAGAAGGACGCACAGGGUGUGAUUCCACUGAUGGGAAACGUCCAGAACAGGCAGGUCCACAGACACAGAGAGUGGGUUCCUGGUUGUCAG
ensembl:lncRNA